rnacentral:misc_RNA from 1 species
AAGUCGUAACAAGGUUUCCGUAGGUGAACCUGCGGAAGGAUCAUCGUUGGGAUUUUAUUCUGUGUUGUUGUGGACACGGAUGUUUUUCUUUCAGACCCCAACCAAGAGGAGAGGAGUUGACUGAGGCUUUUUGUUGUGGAGGGAGAAAAAGGACAAAACUUUCAACAACGGAUCUCUUGGCUCUCA